CGACGUGGAUAACCUGCCUCACACAGGGAGAUAACAGUUAGAAAUGACUGCUAAUACCGCAUAAGCGCACAGUCUCGCAUGGACAGUGUGAAAAACUGAGGUGGUGUGAGAUGGAUCCGCGUCUGAUUAGGCAGUUGGCGGGGUAACGGCCCACCAAACCGACGAUCAGUAGCCGGCCUGAGAGGGUGAACGGCCACAUUGGGACUGAGACACGGCCCAAACUCCUACGGAAGGCAGCAG
rnacentral:rRNA from 1 species